rnacentral:rRNA from 1 species
AACGAACGCUGGCGGCAUGCCUAACACAUGCAAGUCGAACGAGACCUUCGGGUCUAGUGGCGCACGGGUGCGUAACGCGUGGGAACCUGCCCUUAGGUUCGGAAUAACUCCCCGAAAGGGGUGCUAAUACCGGAUAAUGUCUUCGGACCAAAGAUUUAUCGCCUUUGGAUGGGCCCGCGUUGGAUUAGCUAGUUGGUAGGGUAAAAGCCUACCAAGGCGACGAUCCAUAGCUGGUCUGAGAGGAUGAUCAGCCACACUGGGACUGAGACACGGCCCAGACUCCUACGGGAAGCAGCAGUGGGGAAUAUUGGACAAUGGGCGAAAGCCUGAUCCAGCAAUGCCGCGUGAGUGAUGAAGGCCUUAGGGUUGUAAAGCUCUUUUACCCGGGAUGAUAAUGACAGAACCGGGAGAAUAAGCUCCGGCUAACUCCGUG